UACACUCCUACGGGAGGCAGCAGUGGGGAAUAUUGGACAAUGGGCGCAAGCCUGAUCCAGCCAUGCCGCGUGAGUGAUGAAGGCCCUAGGGUUGUAAAGCUCUUUCACCGGUGAAGAUAAUGACGGUAACCGGAGAAGAAGCCCCGGCUAACUUCGUGCCAGCAGCCGCGGUAAUACGAAGGGGGCUAGCGUUGUUCGGAUUUACUGGGCGUAAAGCGCACGUAGGCGGACUAUUAAGUCAGGGGUGAAAUCCCGGGGCUCAACCCCGGAACUGCCUUUGAUACUGGUAGUCUUGAGUUCGAGAGAGGUGAGUGGAAUUCCGAGUGUAGAGGUGAAAUUCGUAGAUAUUCGGAGGAACACCAGUGGCGAAGGCGGCUCACUGGCUCGAUACUGACGCUGAGGUGCGAAAGCGUGGGGAGCAAACAGGAUUAGAAACCCGGUAGUCCCA
rnacentral:rRNA from 1 species